AGAAAACAAAACACUUAAAAUCAAAACAAUAAAACUGAUGGACGAACCAACACCACCUAGUUGGUGAUGUGGAGCUCUAACCAGGAAUGGCUGAAUAUAUGCAAAGUCAAAAGUUUAUGUAAUGUUCAGUUAAUGUGUCGAACAAACGAUUCAAGGGAGCUAACCAACACUCCAUUAUAAUUCCAUCGUCUAUAGUCACGUUUUUAAGUUCGGCAUUGUUACAUUCGGAAAUGAUUAUAGGGACCUUUUCGCAUCGGAACUGUGGAACUGGAUUUACGUAGAUUCAAAGGCACGCCCUUGACCGAUUUAUGGUUACAGUUGUGAAAUCCGGGGGUAAAAAAAGCCAGCAGGGCGCCAAUGUACCCCAUUGCCCCAACACAGAGUAUUGCUGAUGCUAAAAAAUAUACGGAUUCUAAACCAUCAUCGGCAUGGUGUUCAAGGGAAAACGUUGUUUCCGUUUAAUGUGACUGAUGCUAUUAAACGGGUCUAAAGAACAUCAAAUUGGGCAAGAUAUGACCAAUAAUACACCAAAGAAAAGGAUGAAUGAGUGCAACCUUAUUAUUUCAGGACCAUCAAAUUAAGCAAGUUAUGUCCAAUAAUACACCAAUAAAUACAGGAUGAAUGAGUGCAACUGUAGUGAUAUGGAAACCCACGCCAGAAUGGGAAUGCAACUGUAGUGAUGUGGAAACCCACGCUAGAAUGGGAGUAACUUUUAAAAGGUGGACAAUUUUCUAAAAAUAAAAAAAUAAAAUCUAAAAUUUAAUUCUUUCAAAAGGACAAAUCCAGCUGAUUUCAACUAAUAACAGAUACAGACCAUGUAUAUUCCU